ensembl:lncRNA
CACUUUCAAAUGGCAGACCAGGAUUUGAACCAGGGCAGCCUGGUUCCAGAGCUCUCUUCCUUCCUAUUACUCCCUGCUGCCAAAAUUCAGUGUCCUGAUACCUUCUGGGCACAUAGGCAAUAGGAGACACUUGUCUGUUAGAGGCAGAAGACUUUUUUGGGAGCAGUUCUGCUGUGUUUUCAAAGAAAGCCCACCCACAUAAUUCAUCUGUUAAAACAAGAAACACUGCUACUGUGAUGUUGACAUUCUGUCUAGAAGUGAGCAAAUUAACUUGUGUCUGUGUGUAAUUUCUUCAAACUAUGAAACAGUGAGAGAGUGGGUGAGAGUCAUUAUGAAAAAGAGUAAUCUUAAAAUACUCUGAAAUAUGAAAAUAUAAUAAAACAAUCCUACGUUAUCAUUAUACAUUAUUAUUACCAGGAAAAUGCAUUCGAUAAUGCUGCUGCUGCUAGCAUAUCAUCAUAGUGAUUUCUCCAUGCCAGGCACUAUGCCAAGUGCUUUCUAUGCAUCAUCUCGUUUAAUCCCCACAACCACCUUGGGAGAUAAAUGUGAUUAUCAUAGAUACCCUGUGACCCAGCACCCUUGCUUUUAGGUAUUUAUAUGAGAGAUGUGAAAGUAAAAGUCCACAAACAUACUUGCAUAAGAAUAUUAAUAGUAGCUUCAUUCACAAUCGCAAAAACUGAAAACAGCCCAGAUGUCCAUAAAUGGGAGACUAGAUAAACAAACUGGCAUGUUGGAAUAUUACUGAGCAAUAAAAAGGAAGUAACAUUGGUAUUUGCAACAACAUAGAUGAAUCUCAAGAUCAUUAUGCUUAAUGAAGAGUGCAUACUUUCACAAGAGUAUAUACUAUGUUAUUUUGUUUAAACCGUUUCGGUGGAAAAACAUCAGAACAGUGGUUACCUUUGGGAUGUGUCACUGGAAAGAGCAUAAGGGAAUUUUUUGGGUGAUGGAAAUGUUCUAUGUCUUGAUAGGGGCUUAGGUUACACAGGGGUGCAUUUAUCAAAAUUCCUCGAAAGGUACAUUUAAGGUUUCUGCAUUUCAUUAGAUGUAAAUUUUACCUAAAAAAUUCAAAACAAAUAGUGAACUCUAGUUAAUCAUAUGCCUAUUGAAGUGUUUAGAGGUAAAAUGUGCUGAUGUCUGCAACUUUUCUAGAAAUGCAUCAGAAAUAAAAUGGCUUGAUGGAUAGAGAGAGAUGGAUAGAAGGCUGGAUAUACGAUAAAACAGUUCCCUUUGUCUUUCUUAAUGCAGUAGUCACUUUGUUCAGCUGGGGCUCAUCAACAGAGGAGAGAAGUAAGAGUGCCUGGAGUCCUAGCUGGCUUGGUGAUUGAAACACUGCCUAUUACAUGCCAAUGUCAAAGGCACCAACACUGAUCACAUAGUGGCCAAAGGUCAAUGAAAGCAGCAGGAGCUGGUGAGGAGGGAGGGACUUGGGAUCAAUGCUCAAGCACCGCCAGCUCUGGCAACUCCCUAAAGACAGCCCAGGACCCUGGGCUUAGUGUGCGGCUAGAAAGAAACCAAGAGAAGAUGAGCUGCUUCUCUGCUGGGACCUGUUGGUCAUCAAUCAUCAGGUAACAUUUUACCUAUCCAUCUUCUAACUCCCAAAUUCAGCGCUUUCUACUUUAUCAAG